AUGCAGUGUUGCAUUCAUGUUGCAUUCAGGGUCUGUGUGUACUAGACAUACAUGAGAUAUCUCUAGUAGAGGACAUCAAUCAUGCUGCACAUGAAGAAGCCAAGAUAAGUCCCUCAACACAAAGGAUUCGACUCCUGGGAACACUGCUCAAGCAACCCACGGGUCUGUGUGUACUAGACGUACAUGAGAUAUCUCUAGUAGAGGAUAUCAAUCGUGCUGCACAUGAAGAAGCCAAGAUAAGUUCCUCAACACAAAGGAUUGGACUCCUGGGAACACUGCUCAAGC